GUGCAAGUUGUAAUAAAGAGAAAGAGCGACCGUUAACAGGUGUGCUCUGUGAAACUAGCUGAUUGUGGGCUGCUCAAUCUGGCUAAUUCACAGAGUGAAAAAGGGUGGGACAUCUGGAUGGAGGUCGUUAGAAACCAGGCUAGUCUUUCUCGCACCCAGCUUAAACAGAGUUUACUUGAGUUCUGGGUAGGGUAAAUCUCGGCAGAUUUAGGAAACUCAAUUCACCCGUUAGACGGAGAGCUGGUAGCAACGUCUCCCUCCUCUCAGAAGAGGAAGUAGAGAGAGAGAAGGGGGGGGGAGGUGUUGUGCAACAACAAGGUGGCGCCCAACGUGGGGCCACGCCCCUUGAGAAGGGGUAGAGCCCUAGAAAACCAAGUCAGUAAAAACAGAGAGGCGAAUAUCUGAAUAGCUCACUUGGAGGCUAGCUCUUAGGAAAUAGUGUUAGUGGUGGCUGAUCCGGCUGUCAGUCACAACCCUUGCAGUAACUGUAUGGCAUGCAGGUGAGGGAGAGCUUCUGCUGAGGAUAGGCAUAGGUAUCCAGAAGCGGAGCCAGUAGCCAAUAGCCUAAACCCAUCCCUGCUUGAAGGCUAAAGAGAGGCUUUGGGGGAAAGGCGACUCGAAGACAAAGACAAUCAUGGAUGAAGGAAAAGAAGAAGAAGAAGAAGGAUCAAAACUCCAGCAAACGUCAAAAGCAGAGCAGGAGAGAAGAUGAAGAAGAUCCCUGUCUAGAUCCCUGUUCCAGUCAGCCCCAGUGAGAGUGAUUCGGUAUGGAGAGGGAUUUGAGACAUGGACUCGAGCGAAUCAAAGGAAGGUUGUCUUUGUUGGAAUCGAGAAGUGGGACAGUUCUCCCAAGGGAAGGGAGGCCCCAUGGAUAACAGAAAAGAGAGGUCAGGAGUACCUCUUGGUGCUGAUGGACAUGGUGUAACAGUGACAGCUG